GAUGAAAAUAAUGCUGAAAAUGCAAUGAUGUUUUAGUUGUUGCUGACCAGUGGUUACAGAGAGCCAAAGACUUUUCUACUGCUUAUGCUGCACUGCCGAUGAGAGGAAGCUGGUGGUACACAAGUUGUUGGGAGGGGAUGCAGCAGGACAGCUGGCCCAAGCUGGCUGAAGAGAGAUCCUAUGUCACAUGGUGUCAUGCUGAACAAUAAAAUUGGGUGAUUCUUUCCUGUUGAAUUAGACGUGUUACAAUGGAGGUCAUGUACCACACAGAUUUGAAGGAUGAGCUUCCUGUGUCCCUGGACUGAGUCAUAGGGCUCAUCUGCACAGAUAAGCGAGGGUAGCCUACAAGCCGUGGUUAUUCUGCAGUAAUUUCCAGGUCAGCUGUGUGUGCCCCACGUUGAAAGGACUCAGCCCAUUUGCCAUCCUUGGUCCCAGCCCAGUGCUGUGCCCAAUCCUACCAGAAGGGCACAAGUUUCUCAACAGAGCAGCCCUUCUGUGGUUUUCUGCAGUGCUUGUGAUGACUUCCUACAGUGCUCAAGUAAUUGGUUGGUUUGAAGAAGAGCUUUUCAGACUCCUAAAUCAUCUAUUCUCUGCACAGCUGGUUUCUGAGACAGCUCUUGCCUGCUCAGCGUGAAUUAACACAUGAAUGGAUUUCUUUUUCCAAAUCUACCUGAAAGAUAGGAAGUCUAGAUUGUAAUUGGAAGAUGGAAAAAAUCAGCUUUCAUCUCAAGUACCAUACAAUCAGAAGAGAGGCAACUGGGACAACAACCUUAAGAAUGAGCUCUCACACCUUCCUCUACAAAGGAAGCAGGAAGGACUGAACUCCACAAGAAAUGCAACGUAACCUUAAUGACUGCUGUUCAGAAGGCUUGCCAAACAAUACCAGAACAAGCAUGGACCGAUGAGGAGGUUGCUCAACACUUUGCAGUUCUUAAG